AGUGAACGCUGGCGGUAGGCCUAACACAUGCAAGUCGAACGGCAGCACAGUAAGAGCUUGCUCUUACGGGUGGCGAGUGGCGGACGGGUGAGGAAUACAUCGGAAUCUACUUUUUCGUGGGGGAUAACGUAGGGAAACUUACGCUAAUACCGCAUACGACCUACGGGUGAAAGCAGUGGAUCUUCGGACCUUGCGCGAUUGAAUGAGCCGAUGUCGGAUUAGCUAGUUGGCGGGGUAAAGGCCCACCAAGGCGACGAUCCGUAGCUGGUCUGAGAGGAUGAUCAGCCACACUGGAACUGAGACACGGUCCAGACUCCUACGGGAGGCAGCAGUAGGGAAUCUUGGACAAUGGGCGCAAGCCUGAUCCAGCCAUACCGCGUGGGUGAAGAAGGCCUUCGGGUUGUAAAGCCCUUUUGUUGGGAAAGAAAAGCAGCAGGUUAAUACCCCGCUGUUCUGACGGUACCCAAAGAGUAAGCACCGGCUAACUUCGUG
rnacentral:rRNA from 1 species